UACGGGGGGAGCAAGCGUUGUUCGGAUUUACUGGGCGUAAAGGGCGCGUAGGCGGCGCAACAAGUCACUUGUGAAAUCUCCGGGCUUAACUCGGAGCGGCCAGGUGAUACUGUCGUGCUAGAGUGCGGAAGGGGCUACUGGAAUUCUCGGUGUAGCGGUGAAAUGCGUAGAUAUCGAGAGGAACACCUGCGGCGAAGGCGGGUAGCUGGGCCGACACUGACGCUGAGGCGCGAAAGCCAGGGGAGCGAACGGG
rnacentral:rRNA from 1 species